rnacentral:misc_RNA from 1 species
CUCCGCAAGAUGUUUUAACAUUAGAUAAUAGAACGGUUGUCGCUCUUUCCAUUUUACCUAAUUUAAACUGAUGUGAAUAUUUAUAUGAACAGAACCUCUCUAACAACCUGCGAGAAGAAUCACUUGUAAAAUUAAGCAUUUUUUUCCAGAUCGCAAUUAGUCUUUGCAUGUUGCAUUAAACAGCAGUGCUAGAUAUUCAUUGUUCACAUUUCUAUAAAUUCUAAGAAUUAAACAAAACAUAAAAUGCACCUAAAAUGUUUACGAUGCCAAACAAUGAAACGAGAAAAGGAAUACUUGAUUGCUGAUCUAAGUGCCUUCUUCCUUGAGCGUUACAGAAAACAUUUUUAUGGAUAAAUUUGGAUCUUAAUGAUUCUUAAUUAUAUUACAAAUCUACUUUCCUGUAUCAUUUAAAGUGCGCAAAUUGUUAAAUUAAUUUACCAUGAAUUUCAAAUACGUUUCUCGCUGAUUGCUAAGUUCUCGCUUGCUAGUAUCAGUGUUACUUUUGCCAUUCUGAAAGAUGGUGAUUUUAAUCUGUAAUUUUUUAUCCAAGCAUUUUGUUCCAUCUCUAGCAGAGACAAACUUUUGAUGCCCGAAGUUGCAAUCCUGUUCCAAGGGGGAACUUCACACAGGGUGAAAGCAUCCAAGAAAGAGGUUCUCGCUUUACUUAAGUAGGUUAUUGUUAGCACUGUAGUAUUCGAUUUGUCAUGGGGAAAGGAAAAGCAUUCCAGGAGAAAUUCAUAGACACAGGCAUUUUCGAUGCUUGGGUAAAAGAGAUUAUGCCCUCUCUGUAUGUGAAAGAGAGUGUUUUCUGAGAGUGCAAGUAAUGUAAUUUUUGAACUGAAAUCAACAUCUGAAAUUUCCAAAGAGCAGAAGUCAUUUCCUGGUCGUUACCCAUGCCCUAUGUGUUCAUAUACUGCAGACUAUCUUAGCCGCCUUAAAAGACAUCUUGUGACUCAUACUGGGGAAAAGCUUCAAAAUAAGGGAUAUUUUGGUUUGGCGUUCGUGCAGACCUGCUUAUAAGACGCUACUGCAGUCUAGUAUCACAUUUUAUCAACUCCCAGUUGAUAUGCCUAUCAGUUAAGUAAUGACUGACAGUGAAACUUGUGCUCUCCCAGAUCCUGCUAAUUCUUGCCGCCUGAUUACCAUUUUCAGUUAGGGAUUGACUUCGGUUUUUGUAUUCUUCAAAUGAAAAUAGUACAUUUUUUAGUAUAUAUGUAGAUUCUGAAGCCCCUUUUAGUAGGCAGCAUUUUUCAGAAACUAAUACUUCAAUUUCCAAACACGGUCGUUAUCAGUGUCCUAAUUGUUCUUAUUCGGCACCAUAUCAUAGUCUUCUUAAAAGGCAUAUUGUAACUCAUACUGGUGAGCAACCUUUCAAGUGUUCCAGCUGUAAUAGAGGUUUUACACAAAAGGAGAGCCUUAAGAGACAUUUUAUCUCUUUUCAUACUGGUAUGAAUUCAUAUGAGUGUAAAAUAUGCUCUGCA